GCAGCCCAGGCUGGGACCAGCUCGUGAUCGCAGUCAGUACUCGUUCCUGAGGGAUUUGGGCCAUUUAAAGGUGAUGGUGGCCGUUUGACCGACAGUCACUGGCAGCAUUGAGGGCGUCUGUGUCAUUACAAGCUCACCGCUGACACCUGUGGGGAAGAAAAGCAGAAUCAGCUCAUGGAUGCCAAACUAAAGGACACUCCCAGCUUGUUUAAACCAACCAGAAAACUAUCAGAAAACUACGGCUCGAGACACUCGACCAUUCCAAGGUUCCAGCAACAUCGGAAAA